UGGGGAAUUUUGGACAAUGGGCGAAAGCCUGAUCCAGCAAUGCCGCGUGUGUGAAGAAGGCCUUCGGGUUGUAAAGCACUUUUGUCCGGAAAGAAAUCCUUGGCUCUAAUACAGUCGGGGGAUGACGGUACCGGAAGAAUAAGCACCGGCUAACUACGUGCCAGCAGCCGCGGUAAUACGUAGGGUGCAAGCGUUAAUCGGAAUUACUGGGCGUAAGCGUGCGCAGGCGGUUUGCUGAAGACCGAUGUGAAAUCCCCGGGCUAACCUGGGAACUGCAUUGGUGACUGGCAGGCUAGAGUAUGGCAGAGGGGGUUAGAAUUCCACGUGUAGCAGUGAAAUGCGUAGAGAUGUGGAGGAAUACCGAUGGCGAAGGCAGCCCCCUGGGCAAUACUGACGCUCAUGCACGAAAGCGUGGGGAGCAAACAGGAUUCAGAUACCCUGGUAGUCCACGCCCUAAACGAUGUCAACUAGUU
rnacentral:rRNA from 1 species